AUGGUGGUCGGUGAUUUUAAUGAGAUUCUUUAUUCCCAUGAGAACGACGGUGGAGCUCCAUGACCCAUGGGCGUGAUGCAAAAAUUUUGCGAUGCUUUGGUUGAUUGUGAACUAGAAGAUAAGGGUUGCUCGGGUGAACACUUUACAUGGUGACAAAGGAGACUUCGGGAGAUGCUAGACAGGGUGGUAUGUAAUGGCCAAUAUCGUGGGUUGUUUCCACACACAAGGGUCAUCCACGCAAAACAUACGAAGUCGGACCAUAGGCCGACUUUUGUGGACACAGAUGGUGACAUUCAAGGAAAUCAACAAUGUUCUCACCGAAAGCUGUUUGAGGCAAGAUGGCUUAAGGAGGAUAGUGUGGUGCAGAAGGUAAUUAACUGA
rnacentral:rRNA from 1 species